ACGGUAGCUAAUACCGCAUAACGUCGCAAGACCAAAGAGGGGGACCUUCGGGCCUCUUGCCAUCGGAUGUGCCCAGAUGGGAUUAGCUAGUAGGUGGGGUAACGGCUCACCUAGGCGACGAUCCCUAGCUGGUCUGAGAGGAUGACCAGCCACACUGGAACUGAGACACGGUCCAGACUCCUACGGGAGGCAGCAGUGGGGAAUAUUGCACAAUGGGCGCAAGCCUGAUGCAGCCAUGCCGCGUGUAUGAAGAAGGCCUUCGGGUUGUAAAGUACUUUCAGCGGGGAGGAAGGGAGUAAAGUUAAUACCUUUGCUCAUUGACGUUACCCGCAGAAGAAGCACCGGCUAACUCCGUGCCAGCAGCCGCGGUAAUACGGAGGGUGCAAGCGUUAAUCGGAAUUACUGGGCGUAAAGCGCACGCAGGCGGUUUGUUAAGUCAGAUGUGAAAUCCC
rnacentral:rRNA from 1 species